AGCACAUUCCUGGCGCGAGCCUCAUCUCAUCUCUGGGGCUCGAGGAGGGGGAAGGGCGGGCGAGGAUUUGGAGGAGUCCCACAGGGAACAUCCAACAAAACUACUGUGCCGAGUCUAUAGGAGGCCAGGUGGGUCUGACAGUCGUUGAUGACUGACUUGUCUGUGUUCCUGUCCUCCCUCUACUCUCUCGACUUCCUCUACUCUCACUGUAUGAUUGGUGUGAAGGAGGGAUGAUGAAGGUUGUGGGUCUGGACGAGCCUGGCAGCAUGUACGUCCGUCUGGUACGUGCUGUCAUGUAGGUUGGGGGUCUUCUGGGUUGUUUAUUCAGCCUGAGUGGAAGAAAAAAAGACAGGUCCAUCAUGGAAGGGUAGUAUUUACAGUCAGAUACUCCUGUGGUGUCUGAGACACAGUCCAUCCAGAGGUUGGAAUAGUAAUCACCGGCGCUCAGAACGACAGAAGCACUUUCUGAGACGAUCCAGUACUCAGUGGCCAGAGUGGAACAGAUCAAAAUCCAGCCACAGAGACAGGACACAAAGCAACCGAUCUCCACGUACAUCACCACUGUUCGCUGCCUCAUGCUGCCGGCCUAAUGAGCAGAGAAAGAAAAUGUGAGAGAGAUGCGUGUACUGCUGAGAAGUCAAUGGCGAAAUAAGAUUAUAGGGUAGUGUUUCUCCACUCUUCUCCUGCCUUUGGAACCUUCCGCAUUUUACAACUGGUAAAACUACAUAGUUUUACCUCAUCAGCAGUUUUUCAUCCCCAGAGGGUAUUCCCAGGCUAUCAUAGAUUCCUAGUAUCUAGGAAAAUGGUUUCAAAGAACUUCCAGUGCACUAUAACGUCAUGUCUAAUUAUCUAGAACAAAUUAAAGUGAGCUUUAUAUAAACCAAGCCAAUAUUAAAUGACUACAAAGCUUAUUUCAUCAUCGAAAUAAUAAGAAAUUAAAUGUAUUAUUGUUGAAAAUAAAAUGAAAAAAUGUAUGAAUUCUUUACAUAUAUAUUAAAUGCUUUUUUUUUUUUUUUUAUCUGUGCUGCCUAUAAAAACUGACCAUAUGAACAUAUAUAAGUAGAAUGGAAGUUACUCAAACACUGGGUUCAGACGUGAUGCCGGUGUGAUUUUAGUAUUAUUUGUGUUAUUAAUAUUUUUAAAUACCUUUCAUUUUUAUAUUUUCAGCUUUAUUUUAAUUUUUUUCUAGUAUUUUAUGUGCUUAAUGUAAUGUGCUUUUGUCGAUUUCGAUUUUUUUGUUCUUUUAGUUCUUACUUACUUAAAAUUGACUUAUUUCAGUUAGUUGCCAAGCCAACAUCUCUGAUUUUCAUUCAUAUUUAAUUUCAUUUUAGCAUUAUUUUAAAUAACGAAAUCUAUUCUAAUAGUUUAGUUAAAAAUAACAACACUAAUUGAUGCCUUUCCAUCUCUGUUCAAUGCUUUACAAAACAAAAAAUGUCUUGUGAAAUAUUUCUCUAAAUAUUUUUCUGUUUAUAUAUUUCUAUUACCCUCUUGACCCAGUUUCUGUUUACGUAUUCUGUUCCUGAUUGUAUCUGUGUGUGUUUCCAUGAUCUUGUAUGUACAGGUUGACUUGUUUUUGAAAUAUAAUCUCUGACAGGACAUCAGCUGCUGGAUAUGAAGUGUCCUGGGAAUACUGGGAGUUAAGAUAUUUAUCUAACACAUGCAAUGUGUGCAGAGUUUAUGUAUAAACAAUAUUCGCUAUUUCAGUGCUACCAGCGUAAAAGGAGAAAAACAAGAUAAAUAAAUAAACAGUCAAAUAAAAAAUAAAAGAUGAGUCAACUUAACACUUGUCUAGAUCUUCUUCAGAUAAAAAUCGCCUGAGGAGCGUAAACACUCCAACUCUGUGGCGCCUUCAGCAGUGCUCUGUUUUUUGGAAUGAAGGGGUCGAGGUUUGGCUAGUAGCUUCCCCUACUUGUAGAUGUUGUAACUACAGCAUCUGAAAAAAAGCAUCUUGCAAGCCAUGUGCUGUGCUGAUGAAAUAAAGUUUUAAAUAUAAAUUAAAGCUGCAAGUAGCGAUGAAAAAGCCCUCGCACCCAUACCAUUGC